UACGUAGGGUGCGAGCGUUGUCCGGAAUUAUUGGGCGUAAAGCGUCCGUAGGCGGUUAAGUAAGUCUGAUGUAAAAGGCAUCUGCUCAACAGAUGUUGUGUGUUGGAAACUACUUGACUAGAGUAUGGUAGAGGUUGCUGGAAUUCCAGGAGUAGCGGUGAAAUGCGUAGAUAUCUGGAGGAACACCGGUGGCGAAAGCGGGCAACUGGACCAUAACUGACGCUAAUGGACGAAAGCUAGGGUAGCGAAAGGGAUUAGAUACCCCUGUAGUCCUAGCCGUAAACGAUGAACACUAGGUGUUGGGUGAAUCGACCCAUUCAGUGCCGCAGCUAACGCGCUAAGUGUUCCGCCUGGGGAGUACGGCCGCAAGGUUG
rnacentral:rRNA from 1 species